UACGGAGGAUCCGAGCGUUAUCCGGAUUUAUUGGGUUUAAAGGGUGCGUAGGCGGCCUUUUAAGUCAGCGGUGAAAGUCUGUGGCUCAACCAUAGAAUUGCCGUUGAAACUGGGGGGCUUGAGUAUGUUUGAGGCAGGCGGAAUGCGUGGUGUAGCGGUGAAAUGCGUAGAUAUCACGCAGAACCCCGAUUGCGAAGGCAGCCUGCCAAGCCAUUACUGACGCUGAUGCACGAAAGCGUGGGGAUCAAACAGGAUUAGAUACCCUGGUAGUCCACGCAGUAAACGAUGAUCACUAGCUGUUUGCGAUACACUGUAAGCGGCACAGCGAAAGCGUUAAGUGAUCCACCUGGGGAGUACGCCGGCAACGGUGAA
rnacentral:rRNA from 1 species